UACAGAGGCCUCGAGCGUUAGGCGGAAUCACUGGGCUUAAAGGGUGCGUAGGCGGGCACGCGAGUCAGGGGUGAAAUCCCACGGCCCAACCGUGGAAGUGCCUCUGAUACCGCGAGCCUCGAGGGGGAUAGGGGCGUGCGGAACUUCCGGUGGAGCGGUGAAAUGCGUAGAUAUCGGAAGGAACACCGGUGGCGAAAGCGGCGCGCUGGAUCCCUACUGACGCUGAGGCACGAAAGCCAGGGGAGCAAACGGG
rnacentral:rRNA from 1 species